GACGAACGCUGGCGGCGUGCCUAAUACAUGCAAGUCGAGCGAAUCUUUUGGGAGCUUGCUCCCGAAAGAUUAGCGGCGGACGGGUGAGUAACACGUGGGCAACCUGCCUAUAAGACUGGGAUAACUUCGGGAAACCGGAGCUAAUACCGGAUACGUUCUUUUCUCGCAUGAGAGAAGAUGGAAAGACGGUCUCGGCUGUCACUUAUCGAUGGGCCCGCGGCGCAUUAGCUAGUUGGUGGGGUAAUGGCUCACCAAGGCGACGAUGCGUAGCCGACCUGAGAGGGUGAUCGGCCACACUGGGACUGAGACACGGCCCAGACUCCUACGGGAGGCAGCAGUAGGGAAUCUUCCGCAAUGGACGAAAGUCUGACGGAGCAACGCCGCGUGAACGAAGAAGGCCUUCGGGUCGUAAAGUCCUGUUGUUAGGGAAGAACAAGUACCAGAGUAACUGCUGGUACCUUGACGGUACCUAACCAGAAAGCCACGGCUAACUACGUGCCAGCCGCCGCCGUAAAAC
rnacentral:rRNA from 1 species